rnacentral:rRNA from 1 species
GUCAGCUCGUGCCGUGAGGUGUUGGGUUAAGUCCCGCAACGAGCGCAACCCUUUUCCUUAUUUGCCAGCGGGUUAAGCCGGGAACUUUAAGGAUACUGCCAGUGACAAACUGGAGGAAGGCGGGGACGACGUCAAGUCAUCAUGGCCCUUACGCCCAGGGCUACACACGUGCUACAAUGGCCGGUACAGAGGGUCGCCACCUAGUGAUAGGGCGCCAAUCUCAAAAAGCUGGUCUCAGUUC